rnacentral:tRNA from 1 species
GCGGGUAUAUCUCAGUGGCAGAGUGUGUGCAUAGCGUGCACAAGGUCCUGAGUUCAAUCCCCAGUACCUCCA